UAUAUAUAGACUAGAAAGAUAACAUCUAAAUGGUUUCUCUCCACUGAUUUCUUGCAGUCACAGUCCAAUUCCAUCACUUCCAAAUUUGACACUGCAUUUGAUUUGGUAACUCAGCUGAUAAGCAAAUCUACAAUUGGUGCACUGGAAUUGAUUAUGAUACACAAUUAAGAUAAUCAACUGCGGAGGAAUAUGAAAUAUUACGGACAUAGUGUUUGGUGCAAUUCCCCAGCGAAAUGAGUUUGAGCUACAAUGACAAUUUUCACAUCUGAAGCUUUUUGUCCCCUAUUUACUCUGAUUGUAAUGUGUCAGAGCAUUGCCGAUUGUCAUACAGUGUUGGAUAUAAUACCAAGGAGAUGUGUUGUUUGUUGGAUUGGAUGGAUCAAGGCUUAUAAACGAGCAUAAAACAUGGAUAUGUGGGGGUUCUGUUAUGUUCAAUACAUGCCACUUUCUUCUGAUGGUUUCUCUCAAUAACAAGACUUCUUCCUCGACUUUCAUCCCUUGUGCUUUUGAGUAGUUCGGUGCAGAAAAUGUUUCCUAAGUUAACGAAUAUCACUUCCCUAGGACUACCCAUGAGUGCAUUCGUAACGGCGUAUAUGACCUAACAGUAAGGGAAUGCAACAAAGUAGAGUCAAAUAUUUUGCCUUCUCAUAUGGAAAUACUAUCAUGUGGCCAUCAGGAGAGUGACAAAAUAAUGCAAGCAUCUACAACUCUCUAUGAGGCUAGUGGAGCCAAUGUUGUAGCAGUAGCAGGCUACAAAACUUUUCUUAUGGAAUUGCUUAGUAGGAUAUCGCUAAGGAGAUUCUUUGGACACCAAAGUAGUGUCCCAAGGUCUAUCAAGGAUUCAGAGCAUGUGAGGAAGUUCUUUGCCUAUGUUCAGCUAUGGGAUUUUGACAAUGAUGUUGUUGAUGUAAGGCUUUACUACUCGAACCUUGAGGACAAGGUUCUUAUUGGGGCCGGAGGUAAUGUCAUGAAUGAGUCUCUACCAGUAUCGGCAAAGCAGCCCAAUAUCAGAUUAAAUGGCUAUGUUUGGGAUCCGAGUUGAUAUAUAGCUACUUGUAGGUGAUAAAUAGGUUUAUGCGAAUAUUGUUGGAGUUUCUGUGUCUCCUCAUUCUCGUUCUAUCUGUUUUUCUCACCUCCUUUCUGAGUCUAUGCUUCUCAUCUCUCUUCUAUCCUUUGUUACAAUUCCUUUUUAUCCUUUCAACUACCUUGUUGAUCUUAAGCUUUUCGUUGUAAUAGUUUGUUUGAGCUUUCAAUCAAAGGAAUUGGUUCCCUGUUGUUGAGCAUUUAAGUUUUCACUUCAGAAGAUCUAUCAAGAAUGGCCCAGUUUCGCUAAUUCAGAUGAACGCCUCACUGGAGGAGAUGCCAUCAAGUUAUUUGCCAUGUCCAAUUUGCCUCGUCAAGAGCUCAAGCAGGUUCUUUUCUUUUCUACUUCCUUUAUUUCUUUAAUGUUGUUCACUUGUACCCAAUAACCCCAGAUGUUAUUUUCUAAGAUAGUGUAUAUAUGGUCAAACAUAUUUUUAUUAUAUAGUAGACUUGAAUCCUCUCGA